GUGUCUGAAGAAGGCCUUCGGGUUGUAAGGACUUUUGUCAGGGAGCAAAACUUACUGGUUAAUACCUGGUGAGGUUGAGAGUACCUGAAGAAUAAGCACCGGCUAACUACGUGCCAGCAGCCGCGGUAAUACGUAGGGUGCAAGCGUUAAUCGGAAUUACUGGGCGUAAAGCGUGCGCAGGCGGACUUUUAAGCCAGAUGUGAAAGCCCCGAGCUUAACUUGGGAAUUGCGUUUGGAACUGGGAGUCUAGAGUCUGUCAGAGGGGGAUGGAAUUCCACGUGUAGCAGUGAAAUGCGUAGAGAUGUGGAGGAACACCCGAUGGCGAAGGCAGUCCCCUGGGAUAAGACUGACGCUCAUGCACGAAAGCGUGGGGAGCAAACAGGAUUAGAUACCCUGGUAGUCCACGCCCUAAACGAUGUCUACUAGUUGUUGGGGUAGCAAUACCUCAGUGACGCAGCUAACGCGUGAAGUAGACCGCCUGGGGAGUACGGUCGCAAGAUUAAAACUCAAAGGAAUUGACGGGGGG
rnacentral:rRNA from 1 species